CCGAGUUAGCUUUCCAACCAAUCAUAUUCCAGUACUGGAAAGCCAAUCUUCUCGGUUAUUAUUAUCUAUGGGUAACCAAUCUAUGUAAUAAAUUGUCAAAGGUCUAUACAUUCAUGAUUGACAUUCUACAUUCUGAAAACAACACGAAGAAGGAGAACAAGAUGGCAGCAACUUGGUGAGUAUUAAAUUUAUUUAAUCUUUUCAAGGUAUUUCCUUUUUUUUUUUUUCUUUUAUAUUUUUUUUUCAGGUACUUCUAACAGAAUAACCGGAUUCUUUAUUUGAGCAUCAACAGGCGUCCGCAACAAAUUUUCUUAUGAGAAUAUUCCCCGGAAUAUUCGAGUAAGAAACAAAAAGGUCGCCUGUGGUUGUAUUUCUACUAAAUCUUUGAACCAGUGGGAAGGAUGGAGUUUUCUAUAGCUUAAGGCAUAGAAUGAUGACAUGGAUGGGCCACACGAUUUCCGGUACACGUGUUUGAAUUUUGCAACAUGAAACCAGCAAGAACCAUCAUUUAGUUGCUGAAAGAUGUCGGUGUUCAAACUGAGCACCGACUUCUAAAUGUUCUUGCCUGGUGAAAAUGGGAAUUCUUGCCUGGUGAAAAAUGAUUUUCACUAAAAUGAAAUUCCAACCCAGGCGGAAUAGUUUUGGUGCCAAAAAAAAAUUGUUUAGCUACCAUUUUGAUCUUGGUUGCACUAAGUUUUUGUCCGUGGGGAGCAACCCAUGUUAAAAGCCGGGCUUAACUUAGGCUUGGUAGUUUCAUUCAUGAAAAAAACUCAUUUGACGCAGACCUAACUGUUCAGACAACUUUAUACAGGAUCCAGAAUUCAAUGGCAACUUAUUUCAACGUUAGACAACAUAAUUCCAGAACAUACAACUACUUCCUAUCUAUGUCGCAGAAGUGGAGAGGAAACCCGGUGAGUGAUUAAUAAUAAGUUUUAUUUUAAGUAAUUAUACGAACUGGCCUGGCAUUUAAAGGUCAUGUAUUUGAUACAUAAUUUAAGGUUCCAAAGUAGCUAACUAAAAAAAAUUAAAAACAAUUAACACAAAUCAUGCUCAAAUACAAUGGUACCAGAAAAUAAAUAAUAAAACACAGUGGACUUGUACCAUAGUUAAAAAAAAACAAAUAAAUUA